UUACUCUUGUGUAACCAGGUGUAAGAAACACUGUUAAUUUAGUACCAUAAAAGAAGAGAGACUGUUUACUUUAAUUAUCUUAUUUAUUUUGAAUGCACCGCUCAACUCGCAUGGUCCCACGUAGGGUACCUAGUUCUCAGCAGCCAAUCAGAAGCUACGCAGGCCACGCUCAGCCUGUCGGCUCGGAGAGCAACGCGACUGCAGUCGCGUUGCUCUUCCAGUCUUUUCGGAUCUCAGCCAGAGAAGCGAGGGCAGCUGUGUGUUAAGGAGAAGAGGAAAACCAGAGAAAAAACCCAGAGUGAAACCUGUGAAAAAGGAAAAAGAGUCGGAGCACUUACCCAGUGGAGGUCCGGAUCCAAGUGGCUGAACGAAGGAGAGUUACGUCGCAGGCUAACUGCUUGCCUGUCCUCCGGAGAGCUGCUACGAGGUUCGGCAUCGGCAUGCUCCACCUUGAUACACAGAGCAACGGUCAGGUUUUUUAGAGGACUGAAGAGUCUGAGGUUCAGGACAACUUCCUGCUGUAAAAGAUGGCGAGCCAACUACCCUGAUUGAAGAUUAGCACCGAGGAGAUAUUCACGUACACACUCAUUCACACAAAUAAUACACUCACAUUACACUAC